rnacentral:rRNA from 1 species
CCUACGGGAGGCAGCAGUUGGGAAUAUUGCGCAAUGGGCGAAAGCCUGACGCAGCGACGCCGCGUGAGGGAUGAAGGUCUUCGGAUCGGAAACCUCUGUCAGCAGGGAAGAACGGUCACUGUGCUAAUCAGCAGUGAAUUGACGGUACCUGCAAAGGAAGCACCGGCUAACUCCGUGCCAGCAGCCGCGGUAAUACGGAGGGUGCGAGCGUUAAUCGGAAUUACUGGGCGUAAAGCGCUCGUAGGCGGUAUGUCAAGGCAAGGGUGAAAUCCCCGCGCUCAACGUGGGAACUGCCGUUGAAACUGGCAGACGGGAGUGUGGGAGAGGAUAGUGGAAUUCGAGGUGUAGGAGUGAAAUCCGUAGAUAUCGGGAGGAACAUCAGUGGCGAAGGCGACUAUCUGGCACAUAACUGACGCUGAGGAGCGAAAGCGUGGGUAGCAAACAGGAUUAGAUACCCUUGUAGUC